rnacentral:rRNA from 1 species
AUUGAACGCUGGCGGCAGGCCUAACACAUGCAAGUCGAACGGUAACAGGAAGCAGCUUGCUGCUUUGCUGACGAGUGGCGGACGGGUGAGUAAUGUCUGGGAAACUGCCCGAUGGAGGGGGAUAACUACUGGAAACGGUAGCUAAUACCGCAUAACGUCGCAAGACCAAAGAGGGGGACCUUAGGGCCUCUUGCCAUCGGAUGUGCCCAGAUGGGAUUAGCUAGUAGGUGGGGUAACGGCUCACCUAGGCGACGAUCCCUAGCUGGUCUGAGAGGAUGACCAUCCACACUGGAACUGAGACACGGUCCAGACUCCUACGGGAGGCAGCAGUGGGGAAUAUUGCACAAUGGGCGCAAGCCUGAUGCAGCCAUGCCGCGUGUAUGAAGAAGGCCUUCGGGUUGUAAAGUACUUUCAGCGGGGAGGAAGGGAGUAAAGUUAAUACCUUUGCUCAUUGACGUUACCCGCAGAAGAAGCACCGGCUAACUCCGUG